rnacentral:rRNA from 1 species
GACGAACGCUGGCGGCGUGCUUAACACAUGCAAGUCGAACGAUGAACCUUCCAUGAUCUAUUCGUAGAGAUUGGAAGCGGAUUAGUGGCGAACGGGUGAGUAACGCGUGAGCAACCUGCCUUAAACAACGGGAUAGCCUCGGGAAACCGGGAUUAAUACCGUAUGAGACCCCGCCUUCCCAUGAAGAAGAGGUUAAAGAUUUAUCGGUUUAAGAUGGGCUCGCGUCUGAUUAGCUAGUUGGUGAGAUAAAAGCCCACCAAGGCAACGAUCAGUAACCGGUUUGAGAGAGGGAACGGUCACAUUGGAACUGAGACACGGUCCAAACUCCUACGGGAGGCAGCAGUGGGGAAUAUUGCACAAUGGGGGAAACCCUGAUGCAGCGACGCCGCGUGAGCGAUGAAGGAAUUCGUUUCGUAAAGCUCUGUCCAAGGGGAAGAUAAUGACAGUACCCUUGGAGGAAGCCCCGGCUAAAUACGUGCCAGCCGCCGCAGUAAGAC